GACGAACGCUGGCGGCGUGCUUAACACAUGCAAGUCGAACGGUAAGGCUCCAGCUUGCUGGGGUACACGAGUGGCGAACGGGUGAGUAACACGUGGGUGACCUGCCCUGCACUUCGGGAUAAGCCUGGGAAACUGGGUCUAAUACCGGAUAGGACUGCACCGUGAGGGUGUGGUGGAAAGUUUUUUCGGUGUGGGAUGGGCCCGCGGCCUAUCAGCUUGUUGGUGGGUAAUGGCCUACCAAGGCGGCGACGGGUAGCCGGCCUGAGAGGGUGGACGGCCACAUUGGGACUGAGACACGGCCCAGACUCCUACGGGAGGCAGCAGUGGGGAAUAUUGCACAAUGGGCGGAAGCCUGAUGCAGCGACGCCGCGUGGGGGAUGACGGCCUUCGGGUUGUAAACUCCUUUCACCAUCGACGAAGGGUUUCUGACGGUAGAUGGAGAAGAAGCACCGGCUAACUACGUGCCAGCAGCCGCGGUAAUACGUAGGGUGCGAGCGUUGUCCGGAAUUACUGGGCGUAAAGAGCUCGUAGGUGGUUUGUCGCGUCGUCUGUGAAAUUCCGGGGCUCAACUCCGGGCGUGCAGGCGAUACGGGCAUAACUUGAGUACUGUAGGGGAGACUGGAAUUCCUGGUGUAGCGGUGAAAUGCGCAGAUAUCAGGAGGAACACCGGUGGCGAAGGCGGGUCUCUGGGCAGUAACUGACGCUGAGGAGCGAAAGCAUGGGGAGCGAACAGGAUUAGAUACCCUGGUAGUCCAUGCCGUAAACGGUGGGCGCUAGGUGUGGGUUUCCUUCCACGGGAUCCGCGCCGUAGCUAACGCAUUAAGCGCCCCGCCUGGGGAGUACGGCCGCAAGGCUAAAACUCAAAGGAAUUGACGGGGGCCCGCACAAGCGGCGGAGCAUGUGGAUUAAUUCGAUGCAACGCGAAGAACCUUACCUGGGCUUGACAUAUACAGGAUCGCGCCAGAGAUGGUGUUUCCCUUGUGGCUUGUAUACAGGUGGUGCAUGGUUGUCGUCAGCUCGUGUCGUGAGAUGUUGGGUUAAGUCCCGCAACGAGCGCAACCCUUGUCUUAUGUUGCCAGCACGUUGUGGUGGGGACUCGUAAGAAACUGCCGGGGUUAACUCGGAGGAAGGUGGGGAUGACGUCAAAUCAUCAUGCCCCUUAUGUCCAGGGCUUCACACAUGCUACAAUGGUCGGUACAGUGGGUUGCCAGUCCGUGAGGGCGAGCUAAUCCCGCAAAGCCGGUCUCAGUUCGGAUCGGGGUCUGCAACUCGACCCCGUGAAGUCGGAGUCGCUAGUAAUCGCAGAUCAGCAACGCUGCGGUGAAUACGUUCCCGGGCCU
rnacentral:rRNA from 1 species